rnacentral:rRNA from 1 species
UACGGAGGGGGCUAGCGUUGUUCGGAAUUACUGGGCGUAAAGGGCGCGUAGGCGGAUAUUUAAGUUAGAGGUGAAAGCCCAGGGCUCAACCCUGGAAUAGCCUUUAAUACUGGAUAUCUUGAGUUCGGGAGAGGUGAGUGGAACUCCGAGUGUAGAGGUGAAAUUCGUAGAUAUUGGGAAGAACACCGGUGGCGAAGGCGGCUCACUGGCUCAUUACUGACGCUCAGGCGCGACAGCGUGGGGAUCAAACAGG